rnacentral:rRNA from 1 species
UGCAAGUCGAGCGGUAGCACAGAGAGCUUGCUCUCGGGUGACGAGCGGCGGACGGGUGAGUAAUGUCUGGGAAACUGCCUGAUGGAGGGGGAUAACUACUGGAAACGGUAGCUAAUACCGCAUAAUGUCGCAAGACCAAAGUGGGGGACCUUCGGGCCUCAUGCCAUCAGAUGUGCCCAGAUGGGAUUAGCUAGUAGGUGGGGUAACGGCUCACCUAGGCGACGAUCCCUAGCUGGUCUGAGAGGAUGACCAGCCACACUGGAACUGAGACACGGUCCAGACUCCUACGGGAGGCAGCAGUGGGGAAUAUUGCACAAUGGGCGCAAGCCUGAUGCAGCCAUGCCGCGUGUGUGAAGAAGGCCUUCGGGUUGUAAAGCACUUUCAGCGGGGAGGAAGGCGWUAAGGUUAAUAACCUUGUCGAUUGACGUUACCCGCAGAAGAAGCACCGGCUAACUCCGUGCCAGCAGCCGCGGUAAUACGGAGGGUGCAAGCGUUAAUCGGAAUUACUGGGCGUAAAGCGCACGCAGGCGGUCUGUCAAGUCGGAUGUGAAAUCCCCGGGCUCAACCUGGGAACUGCAUUCGAAACUGGCAGGCUAGAGUCUUGUAGAGGGGGGUAGAAUUCCAGGUGUAGCGGUGAAAUGCGUAGAGAUCUGGAGGAAUACCGGUGGCGAAGGCGGCCCCCUGGACAAAGACUGACGCUCAGGUGCGAAAGCGUGGGGAGCAAACAGGAUUAGAUACCCUGGUAGUCCACGCCGUAAACGAUGUCGAUUUGGAGGUUGUGCCCUUGAGGCGUGGCUUCCGGAGCUAACGCGUUAAAUCGACCGCCUGGGGAGUACGGCCGCAAGGUUAAAACUCAAAUGAAUUGACGGGGGCCCGCACAAGCGGUGGAGCAUGUGGUUUAAUUCGAUGCAACGCGAAGAACCUUACCUGGUCUUGACAUCCACAGAACUUUCCAGAGAUGGAUUGGUGCCUUCGGGAACUGUGAGACAGGUGCUGCAUGGCUGUCGUCAGCUCGUGUUGUGAAAUGUUGGGUUAAGUCCCGCAACGAGCGCAACCCUUAUCCUUUGUUGCCAGCGGUUMGGCCGGGAACUCAAAGGAGACUGCCAGUGAUAAACUGGAGGAAGGUGGGGAUGACGUCAAGUCAUCAUGGCCCUUACGACCAGGGCUACACACGUGCUACAAUGGCAUAUACAAAGAGAAGCGACCUCGCGAGAGCAAGCGGACCUCAUAAAGUAUGUCGUAGUCCGGAUUGGAGUCUGCAACUCGACUCCAUGAAGUCGGAAUCGCUAGUAAUCGUAGAUCAGAAUGCUACGGUGAAUACGUUCCCGGGCCUUGUACACACCGCCCGUCACACCAUGGGAGUGGGUUGCAAAAGAAGUAGGUAGCUU